GAUGAACGCUGGCGGCGUGCCUAAUACAUGCAAGUCGAGCGAAUGGAUUAAGAGCUUGCUCUUAUGAAGUUAGCGGCGGACGGGUGAGUAACACGUGGGUAACCUGCCAUAAGACUGGGAUAACUCCGGGAAACCGGGGCUAAUACCGGAUAACAUUUUGAACCGCAUGGUUCGAAAUUGAAAGGCGGCUUCGGCUGUCACUUAUGGAUGGACCCGCGUCGCAUUAGCUAGUUGGUGAGGUAACGGCGCACCAAGGCAACGAUGCGUAGCCGACCGGGGAGGGUGGUCGGCCGGCCUGGGACUGAGACACGGCCCAGACUCCUACGGGAAGCAGCAGUAGGGAAUCUUCCGCAAUGGCCGAAAGUCUGACGGAGCAACGCCGCGUGAGUGAUGAAGGCUUUCGGGUCGUAAAACUCUGUUGUUAGGGAAGAACAAGUGCUAGUUGAAUAAGCUGGCACCUUGACGGUACCUAACCAGAAAGCCACGGCUAACUACGUGCCAGCAGCCGCAGUAA
rnacentral:rRNA from 1 species